GGUGGCUCACUGGUAGAGUGCUUGCCUUGCAUGCAUGAGGCCCUGGGUUCGAUUCCCCAGCACCA
rnacentral:tRNA from 1 species